rnacentral:ncRNA from 1 species
AAGGCGAAACCCGAAAAGCCUAUAAUAGAGUAGGGA